rnacentral:rRNA from 1 species
GAUGAACGCUGGCGGCGUGCCUAAUACAUGCCAGUCGAGCGAACGGACGAGAAGCUUGCUUCUCUGAUGUUAGCGGCGGACGGGUGAGUAACACGUGGAUAACCUACCUAUAAGACUGGGAUAACUUCGGGAAACCGUAGCUAAUACCGGAUAAUAUUUUGAACCGCAUGGUUCAAAAGUGAAAGACGGUCUUGCUGUCACUUAUAGAUGGAUCCGAGCUGCAUUAGCUAGUUGGUAAGGUAACGGCUUACCAAGGCAACGAGGCAUAGCCGACCUGAGAGGGGGAUAGGCCACACUGGAGCUGAGACACGGUCCAGACUCCUACGGGAGGCAGCAGUAGGGAAUCUUCCGCAGUGGGGGGAAGCCUGACGGAGCAACGCCGCGUGAGUGAUGAAGGUCUUCGGAUCGUAAAACUCUGUUAUUAGGGAAGAACAUAUGUGGAAGUAACUGUGCACAUCUUGACGGUACCUAAUCAGAAAGCCACGGCUAACUACGUG